GCCUGGGUGGCUCAGUCGGUUGAGCGUCCGACUUCGGCUCAGGUCACGAUCUCACAGUUUGUGGGUUCGAGCCCCGCGUCAGGCU
rnacentral:tRNA from 1 species